CAGAUCAGAUAUGGAGACGCCCCCUUAUCAGGCUCUAUAAGACCACCCAGACCACUGGAUCUGUUUCGCCACAAGACACUCACUCUGCAGAAGCCUACUAAGAUACAGUUUAGACUACAGUGUCCAGAGCUGCACUCAUCUUUGUGUGAUUUGUGAAGAUGGUCUUAAAUGGUUUGAGCACAAGAUAUCCCAAAAGGAAUACAUAUCCACACACCCGACGCCAUAAGAAUCAUUACUCUUCGAGGAAUUACCAUCUAAAUGAUAGUCCCUAAAAUUAGGGCUGAAGGUCACCAUUUAUUUACUUCUGAUGGCGAGAAAACAGGUGAGAAAUGCCUUUUUGCCAUUCAAGGAGCUAUUCUACCCAAACCACACCUUUUGGGCUUUUAAAUCAUGGAAUGGACUAUGUGAAAUUCUUUGGAGAAAAGUGGAAGUGAAUCGCAUGAAUGGAUUUAAAUGGAGGAAACAAACAAGACUGCUCAAGAUGGCAGUGUACAAAAUGUAGCCUACGUUCGUCUGAUCAGUGGUGUGCGUAAAAGCGCAUGUCUCCAAAUCUGCACCACUAGUGCGAAUCACAAUUGCGCUGAAAUGUGCGAUAAAAUUAAAUUCAGAAUAAUUCAGAAUAUACAUUUGAUCUUUUUUGUAAUUAAUGGGAAUCAAUUUUCUUACCCAAUGUUGGAUCAUUAAAAUGAGUUGUUGUCAUUACCAAGACCAAUUUAAAGUAGUAUGUGGUCUUCCUUUAUAUUUUUUAACUAAUUUAGCUCAUAAAGGCCAAACAAACUCCAUAGAACUGACUGAUGACCCCACUUGUUUAACAUUGUUAAAAUAUAUCGAGCAUGAGUCACAUUCCGAAAAUUUUCCUUGAUGUUUUUACUUACUCAGUGUCCCAUUUUUAUGUCAGAAGGGUAGGAUGAUUAUGAAUUGGUACAUUUCACACUAUUGAUAGCAUGUUUUAUGAUUGAAUGUCCACUUUGAGAUACGAGCCCAGCACGUGUCCCUGGCCUGUUCAAGAUUAAAAAUCACUCUUUGACCUA